rnacentral:snRNA from 1 species
GGAUGUCAGAGUGAUCUGGCUGGGACACUUAUCUCUCCAUGGAUUGCAUCUUUGAUUUAGCAAGAGGAAGGGCCGGGAGUUGUCCUUCUUUCCCUCACUGCCCCACUAGAUUUUCUCCUCAAGAUGAAAGCUUGACGGAUUAGAGUGGGCUGCCUUCAUCUAGGAGAGAUGUCCUUUGGCUGAAGCCACAUCAGCAGGCGCAUUUUCUGGCUAAAACAGCUAAGGGAAUUCUUGUUCCAGCGUCACUGGUAGUCUUUGUUUCUUUAACAGCACCCAGAAUUCUGCCUAAUACAUAAUAAGUUAGAAAUAAGUGUUUGCCAAACUGAGUUUUUGGGCCACUU